GGGCCGAGCCUGGCCAGUCCGCGCGCCCGCCAGCUCCGGAGCGGCGCGGUCUGCCGGAUCCCGGGACGCGGUGCUCGGGGGAGAGGGCGAAGGGACGCGGCGAUGGCCUCGCGGGGAUUCCCGGAUUUCGCCGUCCUCGCCGCCGCGGUCUUUGUGGCAGGCACCGUGAGCUCGCCGCUCGUGGGCCCUGACAGUGGUGGCAGCCACACGCUGCACUCCAAAACAGAGACGACCCCGUCGCCCACUGACAGUGCUGGGAGUGGACACCCAGAAUAUAUUGCGUAUGUGCUUGUCCCCGUGUUCUUCAUCAUGGGGCUCUUUGGCGUCCUCAUCUGCCACCUGCUUAAGAAGAAAGGCUAUCGUUGUACUACAGAAGCUGAGCAAGAUGUGGAGGAGGAAAAGGUUGAAAAGAUAGAGUUGAAUGACAGUAUGAAUGAAAAUAGUGACACUGUGGGGCGAAUUGUCCACUACAUCAUGAAGAAUGAAGCAAAUGCGGAUGUGUUAAAGGCCAUGGUAGCAGAUAACAGCAUCGGUGAUCCUGAGAGCCCCGUGACCCCCAGCACUCCUGGGAGCCCGCCCGUGAGCCCCGGGCCCUUGUCACCAGGUGGCACGCCAGGGAAGCACAUCUGUGGCCACCAUCUGCACACAGUGGGCGGUGCUGUCGAGAGAGAUGUGUGUCAGCGGUGCAGACACAAGAGGUGGCACUUCAUAAAACCGACCAACAAGUCCAAAGAAGGCCGCCCAAGGCGCCAAGGGGAGGUCACGGUCCUCUCUGUGGGCAGGUUUAGAGUUACGAAGGUGGAACACAAGUCCAAUCAGAAGGAGCGGAGGAGUUUGAUGUCGGUCAGUGGGACUGAGAGCGUCAAUGGGGAGGUGCCUGUGACCCCUCAGAAGAGAGAACGGAGAGGCACAGAGUAGCAGGUGGAAUGAGAAUUAGUUACAAGGCAGUGGAAAAGUUUGGCUGACGUAUGUUCCUGUCAUUGUGAAGAUCAGAGGGUGGUCCCGAGGACCGGGAAGCUCUGCACCUGGGCGGCUCUGCACCUGGGCCACUCUGCACCUGGGCUGCCCUGCACCUGGGCCGCCCUGCACCUGGGCCACUCUGCACCUGGGCCGCUCUGCACCUGGGCCGCCCUGCACCUGGGUCGCCCUGCACCUGGGCCGCUCUGCACCUGGGCCGCCCUGCACCUGGGUCGCCCUGCACCUGGGCUGCUCUGCACCUGGGCCGCUCUGCACCUGGGCCGCUCUGCACCUGGGCCGCUCUGCACCUGGGCCGCCCUGCACCUGGGCCGCUCUGCACCUGGGCCGCUCUGCACCUGGGCCGCCCUGCACCUGGGCCGCCCUGCACCUGGGCCGCUCUGCACCUGGGUCGCCCUGCACCUGGGCGGCUCUGCACCUGGGCCGCCCUGCACCUGGGCGGCUCUGCACCUGGGCCACUCUGCACCUGGGCCGCCCUGCACCUGGGCCGCCCUGCACCUGGGUCGCCCUGCACCUGGGCGGCUCUGCACCUGGGCCGCCCUGCACCUGGGCGGCUCUGCACCUGGGCCACUCUGCACCUGGGCCGCCCUGCACCUGGGCCGCUCUGCACCUGGGCAUUCUGCACCUGGGCCGCUCUGCACCUGGGCAUUCUGCACCUGGGCUGCUCUGCACCUGGGCCACUCUGCUGCAGCUCCCUCCACUCCUGAGCACGGUGGCCAAUCACAAGGAAUGACUCUAUUUGAAGAGUUCUAAGAGACUGAAAACUUACACGAUACGAAGUUGUGCCCAAGGAAUGUUUUUAAUCUUUUGUACGAUUUCUAUCGUGGAAUCUGCAGGCAUAUGGAAGAAAGCCAAAAAGGGAAUAUUGUUGUUCUGCUGAAGACAGAAUUCAGUUGGCGUUGAAACAAGUUUUGAUUUUAAAAAGUCUCAUGAGAAAAUUAUCACAUUUCCAGGGAAGAAAAGAGCUCAUUUUUUAUCUCCCCAACUGCCGUUAGCCACCACCCCAUGGUGUAUACACCACAGUUUUUUCCAGUAUGAUCACUCUGUACAGUGGACAUAUUCGUGUACAGUCUGAGCUGAUGCUCUGUGUGUGUGUGUGUGUGUGUGUGUGUGUGUGCACCCACACAUGUACUUCUGUUCCCCCAACCCUUACUUCUAUGUUACUACUGGUCGUAAGAAGAUUCUCUUACAGUUUAACUGCUGCAGAAGAUAAAGACGGCUCUGGUAGUGAAAGGUCCCUGAGGAUAACCUAGUUGGCCCUGAGAAAUGGAUCCCCAAGAGGCCCCGGCGUCAGACGCUGGAUGCUGAGACCGAGAAUUCAGUGCUGACUCCUGCUACAUCAUGCCGCUCUUAGGUCACUUAUAAAAUAUUGGGAAGUUUUGUGUUUGUUUUUAUUUUAACGUGAGCUAAACAAGUCUUACUUAGUUUAUUCAAUAAAGGGGAAAGUGGUUUAAAGUCACAAAAACAAAAAAAAUUCUUGUUUUGACAACCCAAGUUCAAAUAAAAGGAAAAAUCUCCGCUUCUCAUGCCAGACGGCUGCUUUCCCCCGGCCGUUUUCUCUAGUGCAUUGCUGGUUCCAUCUCGUAACUAAUGCUUGUUAUUUGAAAGAGUCGUGGUGGUUUUUCCCCUUUGGGCUUGGAAACCCUGCUUUUUUCUUUGCCUUAGGGUUUAUGAAACACCUGGAAGAACUCAGAGGCCAAGAUAGUGAAUUUAUGGUAGGUCUGGGCCAAAGCCUGGGAGGGUCCACUUCCAGGGAGAGCUCCCAGGGCCGCUGGAUGCUUGCUCUAUUUCAGAGGGAGAAAGCACAUUUCUCACUUGACUCCCAGGAGGUGAUUUCCAUUAAAAUGUAUUUAAAGUAUUUACUGUAAAUAAGCUCAUUCCAUUCUGUUUCUGGCAUCAGACUAAAGCUUCUAACCUUUUAAAUGAAUGGUAGGUUCAAUUUCAUGUGAAUUUUUACUGACAACUGAUUAAAAGGCAUACGUGUACACAUACAUCUACACAGUGGACUAGAGGAAGUCAGUGUGGAGGAAAUUUCACUGAGGUCCAAAAAGUAGCAAUAUAGGAAUUUUGGGGAUGUGAAUUAGUAAAUAUGUGUGAACUAGACCAAUAGUUUUAGCUUUUUUUUUUUUUUUAAGAAAACAUCAUUUUUUGUUUAUUCGAAGAAUACACUCUCAGAAUGGUGAGGGAUAAUAUGUAAGAUAUUCUUCAGCUUUAAUUAUUUUUUAACUUUAUUCAGGUCAGAGCACUUUUUAUAUAAUAGCAAUACAACAGGCAGGAGAAUACUCAAAAAUAUUUAAGAUGAUUGUAUUUAUACCAACAGUACAUUUUAAAUAUUUUCUAAUACUUGAGCAGUUUUUAUCUGUCUGCAAAAUAUGCCAAAAGUUAAGCAUUCAAUAUUUUCAACGCAUAAGCUUUUUACUGGUUUCUAAGAUCUAAUAAGAGCUCGAGUGUUCCCAAAGCGAGUGAUGUUUACAGGCCUGUGCUGUCCUCCCGCGAGGGACGGAGGUCCGCACAGACUGACCGUGCACAACACUAACGAUGAUGGACUGACUGCUGGUGUAAAUGAGUGGGUUGGCUGCCACCUCGAUGUAAAAAUUUGUAAAGGAAAAUUUUCACCCUUAUGAGUGUCAAGUGUAUUUUUAACUGUCUGGUUUGUACUUCUACGACUUUUGUACUACCAAAGCAGAGUUAAAAAUAAAAAUGUUAAAUACAG